rnacentral:rRNA from 1 species
UCCGUAGGUGAACCUGCGGAAGGAUCAUUAGUGAAUAUAGGACGUCCAACUUAACUUGGAGUCCGAACUCUCACUUUCUAACCCUGUGCACUUGUUUGGGAUAGUAACUCUCGCAAGAGAGCGAACUCCUAUUCACUUAUAAACACAAAGUCUAUGAAUGUAUUAAAUUUUAUAACAAAAUAAAACUUUCAACAACGGAUCUCUUGGCUCUCGCAUCGAUGAAGAACGCAGCGAAAUGCGAUAAGUAAUGUGAAUUGCAGAAUUCAGUGAAUCAUCGAAUCUUUGAACGCACCUUGCGCUCCAUGGUAUUCCGUGGAGCAUGCCUGUUUGAGUGUCAUGAAUACUUCAACCCUCCUCUUUCUUAAUGAUUGAAGAGGUGUUUGGUUUCUGAGCGCUGCUGGCCUUUACGGUCUAGCUCGUUCGUAAUGCAUUAGCAUCCGCAAUCGAACUUCGGAUUGACUUGGCGUAAUAGACUAUUCGCUGAGGAAUUCUAGUCUUCGGACUAGAGCCGGGUUGGGUUAAAGGAAGCUUCUAAUCAGAAUGUCUACAUUUUAAGAUUAGAUCUCAAAUCAGGUAGGACUACCCGCUGAACUUAAGCAUAUCAAUAAGCGGAGG